CCCACCCACCCACCCACCUCCCCCUCUGCUACGGUUGCACUACAGGUAGCUACUGUGUAUUAUGGACAAAUGAGAAAUGAAUUCUUUUUCCUCUGUCCAUCCUAUUUUAUUUCAAAUAAGGAAAAGUGUAUUGGAUUUGGUGUAAAUACAUCCAGUGAUGACAUUUUUUCAAUGUUUUUAAAGCUGUGUACAGUGCUACAUGUGGUAGGGCGUUCUCUUCAAAUUGUCUAUUGUAGCAAAAAUGUUUUUGUCGUAAAUCUGUUUUGUCUCCUUUUUUUUGUUCUCUUGUCACCCCCACCCCCUCCCCCCACCUCACCCCCACGGCUAGUACCAAUGUACAUAGUAAUUGUAAUGUUUUAGACUUUACAAAAACUUUCCUGUAUUCUGUAUAUAAAAAACCAAAAAUACUUCAGCUCGUGUUUCCUGCCUGUCUGUCUGGGCCUCUUCGAUCCUGCUGCCCUCUGGGAGCUUGCCGACCUUCUGACUCGGCUUAGAGCUGGCGGGAGGAAAGGGUCGUGCCCACGUGCUGAGAGAGGAAGGGGAGGAAAAGAAGCGAAAAGAACCUGGAAGAUCCCCACACCUGAGUGAGUGGUCCCAGGUAAAGCGAAGGCUGGCAGGCAGUGUCGUCCACAGCCAGAAACCAAGGGGCCGUGAGGAGAAACAAGACCCAUUGGAUUCCCUUCCCAGGGCCCUGCUUAUGUGGGUACCGCUUCUGAGCUGCAGAACUCAGCAGUGGCAGCCGAGUGGAGGAAGGGCCGAGCGUUUGGAAAAACAUAUAUAUACUGGACAAGGGACAGGUCAACUGAAAAGUAGGCCAGUGUUUAGUGUCGUGUCCAGUGUCGAACUAGAUGACUGGCUGCCCUGGCAGCAGUACGGGCUGGUGGUAAAAUUCGCUGCUCCUUUGCCUUACCCUCUAAGCAAACUUGCCAGUGGUUGAAACAGUGUGAGCUGAGGUCGGGUGGGGUGGGGAGGGCAGUAGGGGAAGCAGGGAGUGGUUGGAUAAAGGAUUGGAGAGUGGUUGCCAGGACUGACUGUGGUGGGCGAGGGAGUUAUGUGGAAGAGGCUGGGGGAGUCCCAUGGGGGGGUCAGGAGGGAGAUGGCAGAGGGAGACGAGACGGGGAGCUUUCUCCCCAUGCCUUGGGUCACUAGCAUGGAAACACGUGGGAGGUAAGGUGGGGAGGCUGGCUGGCUCCCUCACCCCCAAAAGGUUCCCCCUCUAUGGAGUAAGCUCAAUCAAUCAGUGGUGUUAAUUGAGAGCUUACUGGGUGCAGAGCACUGUACUGAGCGCUUGGGAGAA